ACUCCUACGGGAGGCAGCAGUGGGGAAUAUUGGACAAUGGGCGAAAGCCUGAUCCAGCCAUGCCGCGUGAGUGAUGAAGGCAUUAGGGUUGCAAAGCUCUUUCAGUGGGGAAGAUAAUGACGGUACCCACAGAAGAAGCCCCGGCUAACUUCGUGCCAGCCGCCGCAGU
rnacentral:rRNA from 1 species